UACGUAGGGGGCUAGCGUUGUCCGGAAUCAUUGGGCGUAAAGAGCGUGUAGGCGGUCCGGUAAGUCCGCUGUGAAAGUCGGGGGCUCAACCCUCGAAUGCCGGUGGAUACUGUCGGGCUAGAGUGCGGAAGAGGCGAGUGGAAUUCCUGGUGUAGCGGUGAAAUGCGCAGAUAUCAGGAGGAACACCUAUUGCGAAGGCAGCUCGCUGGGACGUAACUGACGCUGAGGCGCGAAAGCGUGGGGAGCAAACAGG
rnacentral:rRNA from 1 species